AAGUCGCGGGCACAGCCGCGCCCAAAAAUAAGCACCCGAAGGUCGUGGUGCCAAAACCCCCCAGCGGAAAAAUGGCCAAAAAACGGGUGGGCUAUAGCCUUGGUGGGGGGCGCGGGCGAAGUUCGUCCGCCGGACUCGGAAUGGGGCGAGAUUUUGCGAGGGGCCUCGGGGUGCCUGCGGGAAGUCGCGGGCACAACCGCGCCCAAAAAUAAGCACCCGAAGGUCGUGGUGCGAAAACCCCCCAGCGGAAAAAUGGCCAAAAAACGGGUUGGCUAUAGCCUUGGUGGGGGGCGCGGACGAAGUUCGUCCGCCGGACUCGGAAUGGGGCGAGACUUUGCGAGGGGCCUCGGGGUGCCAAAAAUAAGCCGCGGGCAAAGCCGCGCCCAAAAAUAAGCGCCCGAAGGUCGUGGUGCCAAAACCCCCGAGGGAAAAAUGCCCAAAAAAUGGGUGGGUUAUAGCCUUGGUGGGGGGCGCGGGCGAAGUUCGUCCGCCGGACUCGGAAUGCGGCGAGACUUUGCGAGGGGCAUCGGCGUGCCCGCGGGAAGUCGCGGGCACAGCCGUGCCCAAAAAUAAGCACCCGAAGGUCGUGGUGCCAAAACCCCCGAGCGGAAAAAUGGCCAAAAAACGGGUGGGCUAUAGCCUUGGUGGGGGGCGUGGGCGAAGUUCGUCCGCCGGACUCGGAAUGGGGCGAGAAUUUGCGAGGGGCCUCGGGGUGCCAAAAAUAAGCCGCGGCCAAAGCCGCGCCCAAAAAUAAGCUCCCGAAGGUCGUGGUGCCAAAACCCCCCAGCGGAAAAAUGGCCAAAAAACGGGUGGGCUAUAGCCUUGGUGGGGGGCGCGGGCGAAGUUCGUCCGCCGGACUCGGAAUGGGGCGAGACUUUGCGAGGGGCCUCGGGGUGCCCGCGGGAAGUCGCGGGCACAGCCGCGCCCAAAAAUAAGCACCCGAAGGUCGUGGUGCCAAAACCCCCCAGCGGAAAAAUGGCCAAAAAAUGGGUGGGCUAUAGCCUUGGUGGGGGGCGCGGGCGAAGUUCGUCCGCCGGACUCGGAAUGGGGCGAGACUUUGCGAGGGGCCUCGGGGUGCCUGCGGGAAGUCGCGGGCACAGACGCGCCCAAAAAUAAGCACCCGAAGGUCGUGGUGCCAAAACACCCCAGCGGAAAAAUGGCCAAAAAACUGGUUGGCUAUAGCCUUGGUGGGGGGCGCGGACGAAGUUCGUCCGCCGGACUCGGAAUGGGGCGAGACUUUGCGAGGGGCCUCGGGGUGCCAAAAAUAAGCCGCGGGCAAAGCCGCGCCCAAAAAUAAGCGCCCGAAGGUCGUGUUGCGAAAACCCCCGAGGGAAAAAUGNNNNNNNNNNNNNNNNNNNNNNNNNNNNNNNNNNNNNNNNNNNNNNNNNNNNNNNNNNNNNNNNNNNNNNNNNNNNNNNNNNNNNNNNNNNNNNNNNNNNNNGCGGGAAGUCGUGGGCACAGCCACGGCCAAAAAUAAGCGCCCCGAAGGUCGUGGUGCCAAAACCCCCCGAGCGGAAAAAUGGCCAAAAAAACGGGUGGGCUAUAGCCUUGGUGGGGGGCGCGGGCGAAGUUCGUCCGCCGGACUCGGAAUGGGGCGAGAAUUUGCGAGGGGUUUCGGGGUGCCAACAAUAAGCCGCGGGCAAAGCCGCGCCCAAAAAUAAGCUCCCGAAGGUCGUGGUGCCAAAACCCCCCAGCGGAAAAAUGGCCAAAAAACGGGUGGGCUAUAGCCUUGGUGGGGGGCGCGGGCGAAGUUCGUCCGCCGGACUCGGAAUGGGGCGAGACUUUGCGAGGGCCCUCGGGGUGCCCGCUGGAAGUCGCGGGCACAGCCGCGCCCAAAAAUAAGCACCCGAAGGUCGUGGUGCCAAAACCCACCAGCGGAAAAAUGGCCAAAAAACGGGUGGGCUAUAGCCUUGGUGGGGGGCGCGGGCGAAGUUCGUCCGCCGGACUCGGAAUGGGGCGAGACUUUGCGAGGGGCCUCGGGAUGCCAAAAAUAAGCCGCGGGCAAAGUCGCGCCCAAAAAUAAACGACCGAAGGUCGUGGUGCCAAAACCCCCCAGCGGAAAAAUGGCCAAAAAACGGGUGGGCUAUAGCCUUGGUGGGGGGCGCGGGCGAAGUUCGUCCGCCGGACUCGGAAUGGGGCGAGACUUUGAGAGGGGCCUCGGGGUGCCCGCGGGAAGUCGCGCGCACAGCCACGUCCAAAAAUAAGCACCCGAAGGUCGUGGUGCCAAAACCCCCCAGCGGAAAAAUGGCCAAAAAAUGGGUGGGCUAUAGCCUUGGUGGGGGGCGCGGGCGAAGU
rnacentral:lncRNA from 1 species